ensembl:lncRNA
GUCAGGAUGUGAGAAGUCUCAUCAUAACUGUAACUGGUGAGCAAGAUGCAUGAGAACUAAGAUUGUUUUAGUUCUCAUAGCUCCAGUAAAUAUAAAUCAGUUUCAUGUUUGCACAUCUUGGUUUUAUCUAACCAGCCAAAUGCUCUAACUUAAAGCUUACUCAGAUGUCCCAACUGAUAAGGAAGCACUGAGUAAAACGAUUAUGCCCACUGUGAGUAGUGCAGUAUGCAGAGAUAGUCGUGCUGGUCCCAUCUGUGACAUUAACCUCAUAACACGUGACUGACUCUGUGAUUGUUUUGUGAGUACUUUGCCAUUUUCAUCAACAUUUUCCACCAUUUUGACCAUUUUGAAUGGUUUAGGCCAGUUGAAUAAUACCUUGCAACACCUGUAUCUGGUAACAAUCAUUGAUCUGAGAUUGUGUGUGCUUUUCCAACCCUGCAGGUUCCAGAGAUUGAGCAAGAGCUUUUUACUAAUUCAUUUCUUUAUGGUUCAAAGCUUCUGAGUAAUACAGAGAUAAAUGAAUCCCUUCAGAAAACAACUGAAGAUUACACGAAGAUAUCUUGUGAGUCGAUCCUUCUUCAAUCCACAAAUAACACACCUUAGAGAAUUUUCUUCUUAAUUUUUUUUCCUGCAAAACUAAAAAAUAAUGUUCUUAUUCUGUUUUUUUUUUUUUUUUUUUUUUUUGUGUACAGUGUUAAAUGCUUUUGUGGAGGACUCACCAACAUACUUGAAUCCUGAAUCUACCCAAAACAUAGAAUUAAUUUCACUUAAGCCAAGUUACAUUAGCAAAGGAAGUAAUGAAAAAAUCCAACAUCCCAUUCAAACACAAAAAACAACCCCUGUGCCUCUCAAACCUACACCAUUUACCCCACUCAAAGAGAUUUUUAUACAGGAUUCGCAUGGACAUAUGCAACCAACAGAGCAGGCCACAAAACCUCCAGUAAUGAAUCCAGACACAAACAGCCCUUCGUCAGCAGACUUAUAUUUCCAUAAAAUGUUGAGCUUUUCUCUGAAAAGUGCCCAGUCCUUUAGCGGACAAACUCAGACUACAGGCUUAACUUUAAUGGAUGUAGAGAAUUUCACUGCCUUGGCUCCUGUUGAAAAGCACCAAAAUCAGAGUCAAAUCAUCAAGCAGUCUGGAGGUACCAAGUCAUCAGUGACGAAUGACACAGACCUUGUUGAGUCACUCAAGAAAAACACCUCACAGGCUCCUAUGAGGACCACUGACAAUAAUUACAGAGAAAAGGAGAAAUCCCAAACUUGGUUGCCUGUGAUUGAGAAGCAUGACAUUCCCAUUGUGGUUGGAGUUGGUGUUUCAUUGGCAUUCAUCUUCAUUGCCAUGGCCUUUUACUCUCUGGUUCAGAAAAAUGAUCCUGCAGCUGUACCUACAGGGAGGGCAGGUGAAAUAUAAUAUAUAUUUUAAAAAUAAACCUUGAUACUCAUUUUACUCAUAGACUUUGAUGAGUUCAUAAAUAAGAUGUUCAAGUAUAAUAAAACAUUGUUUUCUCAUAGCUUUGAGGGGAAUAGGUGGGCCUUGCAGGCAUGGUGAACGUCUUGCGAUGGAAAGGACAUACGAUAACAAGUUAGUUUUGUUCAGAGCAUGUUGACAGCAAGUAUAAUGCCCCUGUCAAUAUUGCAUUAAUUGAAUAGUAGUUCCAUAACUGUCUUAAUGAUGGCACAUUUCAGGGCAUUUGAAGAUGAUAAUUUGGUGGCUGUCAUUGAGCAAAGCCCCAACACAUCAGAGACAAGAGCGCUCCCAACAGAAGGCAGCCCAUCCACCUUGAUGAUGGAACCACCGCCUGAUGACUUGCAAGAGGGUGUCCAGUCCACCCAGGACCUGCCAGUUAUUGUCGAGACUCACCCAGAGCCUAGAGAAGAAGACCAGGUCAGAACUUUUAUUGUGCUUUCACCUCUUUAACAAAUUUAUUCCAAACCCAUGAAGGAGAAUAUCUUGAUACCUGAUACUGAAUUCAAUUCAAUUCAAGUAUAUUUGUAUAGCGCUUUUUACGAUAGAAAUCAUUGCAAAGCAACUUUACAGACAAGUUUAAGUUAAGUUAAGUUUCUACAAUAUUUAGUAGUAGCUUAUCAGUGUUGACUGUCAGUUUAUGUGCAUAUGGCAGAAAUGUAUGGAAAAAUCAAUUAAAGACGUAAUUAAACAGACGAUGAACACUAAUAACAGCAAUUAUUAUAUGAUGCAAUCAAACUUAUAGCCAAAUUUGAACAUUUUCAGGANGGGUUAGCAUCAUCUGAGGUCCUCUGAGGGGUUGGCAUCAUCUCUUUUCAGCUGUUCUGAAUCCAGACUGAAGCUUAUGUAAAUCCUACUUACCACGGGAUAUAAAUCCUGUGGCAAAACAGAGAAACAAAUAGAGACAUAAUUAGCGUAGCUGCUGUUCCAACCAAGUAAAAUUAAUUAGUUUAACCCAAGCUAAAGAAUAAUAAUGCGCAUUUGAUCAGAUAUAACUGCAGUCCAAAUUUAUGAGAUGCAUUAUUUGAAUGCUUGGCCAAAGAGAUGUUUUUAAUCUAGAUAUAAACAGAGAAAGUGUGUCUGAACCCCGAACAUUUUCAGG